AGGCAGCAAGCUUUACCAUCCAAAUUUCCAGAUCGUAUUGAAAGCUUGAGGGAAAAACGAUGAAUUCAUAAGUCAACUGGCACAAGCUUAUCCCUCUGAAAAUGAUUUUUCACUCUUGAAUCCCUGGGACAGCACCGGAACUAUCUCCUUGCAAGAGGACACGCCCAAACAUCAGUGUCAGAAUGUGUGGUUUGCUUUGAAAUUGUAGCCUUGGCUGAAACCACCAAACCCAGGAUAGG
rnacentral:lncRNA from 1 species